GAUGAACGCUGGCGGCGUGCCUAAUACAUGCAAGUCGAGCGAACGGACGAGAAGCUUGCUUCUCUGAUGUUAGCGGCGGACGGGUGAGUAACACGUGGAUAACCUACCUAUCAGACUGGGAUCACUUCGGGACACCGGAGCUAAUACCGGAUGAUCUUUUGAACCGCAUGGUUCAAAAGUGAAAGACGGUCUUGCUGUCACUUAUAGAUGGAUCCGCGCUGCAUUAGCUAGUUGGUACGUUAACGGCUUACCAAGGCAACGAUGCAUAGCCGACCUGAGAGGGUGAUCGGCCACACUGGAACUGAGACACGGUCAAGACUCCUGCGGGAGGCAGCAGUAGGGAAUCUGCCGCAAAGGGCGAAAGCCUGACGGAGCAACGCCGCGUGAGUGAUGAAGGUCUUCGGAUCGUAAAACUCUGUUAUGAGGGAAGAACAUAUGUGUAAGUAACUGUGCACAUCUUGACGGUACCUAAUCAGAAAGCCACGGCUAACUACGUG
rnacentral:rRNA from 1 species